GACGAACCGUGCGAACGUUAUUCGGAAUCAUUGGGCUUAAAGGGCGCGUAGGCGGCGGUGUAAGUUGGAAGUGAAAUCCCAUCGGCUCAACCGUGGAAUUGCUCCCAGUACUGCAUCGCUCGAGGGGGAUAGGGGUCUGCGGAACUACCGGUGGAGCGGUGAAAUGUGUUGAUAUCGAUGGGAACGCCAGUGGCGAAAGCGGCAGACUAGACCCUUCCUGACGCUGAUGCGCGAAAGCUAGGGGAGCAAACGGG
rnacentral:rRNA from 1 species